GGCAGUUCUGGGGUGAUGCACCCCAGAACCAGGCUCCCUCCUCUCUGAUUUCAGAUGUGUCACCCAAGAACCACA
rfam:Myotis davidii contig226751, whole genome shotgun sequence.